AUUCCAGCUCCAAUAGCGUAUAUUAAAGUUGUUGUGGUUAAAAAGCUCGUAGUUGGAUCUCGGCGGUCUGAGGGCGGUUCGCUUCAGAGCGCUACUGCCCUAUAGACCGUAGUUUUGCCAGAGGUCUCAGGGUGCUCUUAACCGAGUGUCUUGCGAUGCUGGCAGGUUUACUUUGAAAAAAUUAGAGUGCUCAAAGCAGGCUUUUACGCCUGAAUAUUCGUGCAUGGAAUAAUAGGAUAGGAAGUCGUUUCUAUUUUGUUGGUUUUCGGAAAUCGACUUAAUGAUUAACAGGGACAGUCAGGGGCACUCGUAUUCCGCCGAGAGGUGAAAUUCUCAGACCAGCGGAAGACGAACCACUGCGAAAGCAUUUGCCAGGGAUGUUUUCAUUG
rnacentral:rRNA from 1 species